GCCUGCCUAGAAUCACUCAAACUUUCUGUGAGAGACUAUAUCAGGAUUUCCUCAUGGCCUCCAAGCGGGGCUGGGGGCCGGGGGUGCACAUGAGCACAAAAGGAAUGCUCUCACAGGGGAGCUGUGUUUUCUUUUACUGUGAAAAGUAUGUGUGGCCUCAGCCUGGCUCCUAGUACACAGGUAACUGAAAUAUUUGCCCUUGGGAGAGAAAGCGCAGAAUGUUCUCUUAAAAUGCUCCAACUGGUGAAAUAAGAGAUUUUAGAUAAACAGCUUUUGAGGGACCCCAUUUCCUGAGCUAUGCUUUGAUCACAUGACAACAGCGCCAGCGAAAACACUUUGUUAUCCUUUCAAGGGAGAUGUUCGAGAAAGAACUUCUGCCUGGGUCAUGGAGGUUGAAACCAAAUCCUGAGUGAUGGUAUUAGACGGCCUUUGAGAGGUGAUAAGGUCAUGAGGAUGACCUUCAUGAAUAGAAUUAGUACUCUUAUAAAAGAGAUCUCAGAGAGACUCCUCAUCCCUUCCAACAGAUGAAGUUACAGUGAGAAGACAGCAUCUACGAUGAACUGGGCCCUCAUCAGACCCCAAAUUUUUCACGCCCAAAUCUUGGACUUCACAGCCUCCGGAACUAUGAGAAAUAAUAUUUCUGUUGUUUCUAAACCACUCAGUCUAUCAUAUUCUAUUACAGCAACCUGAACAAUAUAAGACAGAAAAUUGGGACAGGAAGUAGUGUGAUGCUGCAACAAAUAUCUAAAAAUGUGGAAGUGGUUUGAGAACAGGGUGAUGGGUAGACUAGAAGAGGUUUGAGGUGCAUGCUAGAAAAAGCUUACAUUAGCAUGAAGGGAAUUUAAAGGCAAUCCUGGUGAGCCUUCAGAAAAAAAAAAAAAAAGGAGAGCUGCAGAGAAAACCUCAAUCUUCCUUUAGAAUAUCUAAGUAGGCUGGAUGUGGUGGCUCACACCUGUAAUCCCAGCACUUUGGGAGGCCGAGGAGGGGGGAUCACUUGAGGUCAGGAGUUCAAGACCAGCCUGGCCAACAUGGUAAAACCUCAUCUCUACCAAAAAAAAAAAAAUUACAAAAAUUUGCUAUGCAUGUUGACACAUGCCUGUAGUCCCAGCUACUAGGGAGGUUGAAGCAGGAGAAUUGCUUGAACCUGGGAGGUGGAGGUUGCAGUGAGCUGAGAUCAUACCUUUGUACUGCAGCCUGGGUGAGACCCUGUCCAAAAAAAAAAAAAUCUAAGUAAUCCUGAGUAGAGCCUUUGGUGGAAAUAUGGAUAGUAAAGACCACUCUGAUAGAUCUCAGAUAGAAGUCAGAAGCAUGUUAUUGGACAACGAAGGAGAGAUCGUCUUUCUUAUAAAGUGCCAACUCAUGGCAGCUGGAAUCUGGCGGACCAGCCCAGGAAACUGGCUGCUGAGCACCCUGGGGCAUCUCCAAUAACCUGGAUCCAGUCCUGCUGAGCAAAAAAGGAACAUGUUCAGAUGUAAGGUUAGACCCACCAAGGAUCAAAGCAUUAUGAUGAAUAAAGGGCCCGGGUGAUAGGAUACCACCUGCGGUCAGUGCACACGAGAGGCACUAAAGUGAGGUGGCAGCCCAAACUCGGAAGAGUUUGACCAGCCCAAACCCUGAGGGAAUUACUCAUGCCUCAUCUAUGGUGCCUCUGUGAGAUCCAUGAGGCCUGCGGCCACUUUUCUCUAACUUUUCAUUCUGUCUUCGGUGCCUCGCACAUUUCUUGGCAGGCAUAUUUGUUGAUUACAUGAAAAAUGGCUAAAUGAAUAAAUGACUGCUUCUACUGCUUCUGACAAAAAAAACAGAAAAUAUUUAAUACUCUGAGAUCAAGAAAGAAUGAAUGAAUGACUGCAUUUUAUAAAGAGAAAGAAAAUAUUAAAGCUUCAUGAUCAAGAUGGAGUUGGAAAAUGUUUUUAGAGCACUUCAGUAAAGAAAUGUUUCCUAACAUCAGCACACUGUUGUUUUGGUUUACAAAGAGCGUUAGCAUUUAACGUAUGAUUUGCUCAUUAUAAUCUUAGGGGUCAGGCAAGCCAGACAUGCUUUCCUUUAUUCACUCAAUCAAUACAUAAGUUCCUGUUGUUGCCAAUCAGGUUGUUAGCAAUUUGGCAUACAGAACUGAUUAAGAUAUAAUCUACUUCCCUGCCCUCAGAAGCUCGGUCAAGUAGGGGAUACACACACACACACACACACACACACACACACACACACACAUAUAUAACUACAAUAAAAUAUUCAUUUAGACAAAUAAUUAUGAUAAAAUGGUGAGCAUUAAUGGAAGGACUAAGAAAGGAUAUAUAAGUCAUCGAUUAUUAAUAAUUUGCCUAUAGGAGCUGGAAAAGUUUCAUGAAAGUGAUGGCAAGUUAAAGGUAGAAAAGAAAUUUGGCAAAUAUCCAGAGGUGAGGGAAGGCUUUCCAGAGAAAGAAUAAAUACCAGCCAUUGUUUGAUACAAUAGAACAGAAAAUACUUGUUGAACAGUGGCAGAAUUUGAGUCUAGAAAAGAAGUUUGAGGCCAAUCAUCAAGGGUUUGGAAAUAUCAAGCCUGAAGCUUGUCUUGCAGACCAUGAGAGUGAUGUAAAAAUGUUAACGGGAAGGUCGGUAUAAGGUGUUCAGAUUUGCAUUUUAUUUUCCUGAUUUUGCAGACGGGGAAUCUUAGCAGUAACAGUUAAAUGACUUUUUCUGGGUCACAGGGAGAGUAAUAGAAGAGCCACAUUUUUGCUGGGCUGGAAAUAAAAUGCCAAGUAUAGACUUCCUGCUUGUUGCUUAAUCAGUAGAGACAACUUUUGCCAUGUGGAAAAAGAGUUCAUUAUAAUCAGACUGGAAAUUCAUGUACCUGAAAAUCUUUAGAAGGGAAAACGUAGGGGAAGGAACAAGAUGGAAUUGCAGAUACAAAACAAUUCUUAUCAGUCUGAGUCUGUUUUACAUUUUGUUCCAGAUUCUGCAAAUUAGCCCUGACACAAUGAAUCUUUGUAAAUUAAUGAGGGUAACAGCGGGAAAGAAUCAAUCAGCCACUCUUGUUCCAAAACCCUCCUUGGUAAUAACCUGAUAUGAACCUUGGAGUCAUGACCCCAGACUAAUAGCUUGCUUUGUACCCUUUGAACAAAACAAUUAAAUAAUCACAUUCCUCUUGGUCCAACUUCCUGAAUGUAUUAAUUAGAUUAAAACACAACUUGUCAGGGUCCUUCGAGAGGAAGGGGUUUGCUGGAUUUGUUUUCUCUCGCCCUCCAGCUUCCAAAGGCAUGUCCUGCUUUCAUGCAGGGGGAGCUUGUUACCUGCCUAGGCAAGCAACUUUGACACACACCUGGUCUCAUUCCUUCUAGACCUGCCCUCACAUGCAUCCUCUCACCUGGACUCCACCACCCAGGGCAUUUUUCUUCCUCUGCAGGAGAAACAUCCACCUCUUGGUUCCAAUUGUGUUACAAAUCCUCUCUUAAAAUAUAGAAGCCAGUUGAUAACUCUUCUUGGCUCAAUUUCAGCAUCUCACUCAUCCAUCUAUCCAUUCAUCCACCCAAUCUUUAGGAGAGGUGGGCUCAAAUCCUGGUUCUGCCAUUUCCUAUCUCUAUGAUCCUAAGCAAAUGGCUUAAACUCUUUUGUGCCUCAAUUCCCUGGCCUGUAAAAUGGGGAUGGCAACAGGACAUAUGUUUUGUGGCUUUUAUGAGGAUUAAAUGGGUUUAUUUGGUUUGAAGUGAUUCAAAUAGUGCCUGGCUCACUUAAAGAGCUACUUCUUGGUACUAAGGUUUUUGGGAUUCAAGUAUGAAAAUGGCACUAUCUCUGCUACAGAGCACUAAAACACAAAACAAAUCCAACCAUACAUCAGGUUAAAUGCAGUGGUACACGCAUGUGGCAUCCUGAGGGCACAGAGCUACCAGGAUGACAGCAGCCAGACCCAGCGGCUCCAGGCCCAGGCUUCCUCAUGUGCUUCUGCUCUUCUUGCAAUUGUCUUCCCAGAUACCCGAAAACCUUGUUCCCUCACUUCAGUCAGGAGAUAGGCCUUUUCUGAAGCUUCAACCUAAAAUAGCAGCACACACUGCACUGCAUCAUCCUCGGUUCUCUUUCCCUGAGCUAUUUGGCUUCAUAACUGUGUGCCAAGCCUGUAUAUCAAACCUAGGUGCCCAACACUUAUGUAUAGAGCCGGAGUGUGUAUAUCAAGCCUAUAUACCCAAAGCUUAUGUGUAUAGCCUGUGUAUCCAACACCUAUGUCUCCCCUCGGCCUAUGGGGUGGAGUGUAUGGAACAUGGCUGUGCUGUGGCCAAGAGGGCAUAGGCUGAGGUAAACAUCCUGCGUGA
rnacentral:lncRNA from 10 species